UACGAAGGGGGCUAGCGUUGUUCGGAAUUACUGGGCGUAAAGCGCGUGUAGGCGGGUCUUUAAGUCAGGGGUGAAAUGCCAGGGCUCAACCUUGGAACUGCCUUUGAUACUGGAGACCUUGAGUCCGGGAGAGGUGAGUGGAACUGCGAGUGUAGAGGUGAAAUUCGUAGAUAUUCGCAAGAACACCAGUGGCGAAGGCGGCUCACUGGCCCGGAACUGACGCUGAGACGCGAAAGCGUGGGGAGCAAACAGG
rnacentral:rRNA from 1 species